CAUACGGGAAUCAUGCACCGUCGAUGGACCAUAGAAUACAACUACGGGUCCGUAUAAUUUGUGUAUUUUUUUAAGUAAUUCUAUGGUAAACAUAUAAUUAAUUUUAUGUAGGUGCAACCCAAACAAAUGAGGGAUAUGUCCAAGAAGGUACAUGUGUUCGCGUAAACCUGAAGACUAUUGAGAAAUUCUACUAUUAUUAAAUCAACAAUAGUGGUUUACUUGAAUUCGAAUUCCAAUGAGGCAUAGAAAAUGAAGGUGUUCGCAUAAAGAUGGAUGGAUAUAGUGUAAGAUGACAACCAGUCAAUAUGGCUAGAACUAAUGUUUCUUGUGCCAUGAUCGCAGAUAUAGAAUAACGGCAAGAGGAUGAUAAUAUCAAAUAACAAGCUAUGUGAUGUUUUAAUAUCUAGUCAUUUCAAUUCUGGUUAUAAUCUGGUCAUUCAUGGAACUUGAGAAUAUCAUAAAUACUAAGCCAUAUGUUUAAUUGUUGUUUACAUAAAACUAACUAAUGCAUUAUGUAUAAAUAAUAAUUGUAUUAUAAAUGGCAUGAGGCUGUUGUUGUA